GGGCUCUACCACUAACAUCAACACGGAAAUAGCAUCCCAUCAUAUAAGAACCAACAUCAAAUUCAAGCACAUUUACUGGUCUAUUCCAUUUUUUCUCUCUCGUUUAUUUCAUUUCAAAUCCUCUCCUAUCAACCCUACAGGGAGGGAGAAGAAACAAACUGUCUUGGUGCGCUAAAAAGAUCUCUCUCUUCAAAGGGAGAAGCCCACUCCCGAGAACCACCACUAGAUGCCUCUGCUGUUGAAGCUCGUUCCUGAAGCCCAGGUAUCGAGACACCACCACCACCAACAUUAGACAGAGCAGGUCUCAUCGCAGAUGUAACACCCAAGCCAGGGGUAAAUGAAUCAUAUGUACGAACAUUGUUUUGCAUUAAAGGGUUCAUUCCUGGCCACAUCCCACCUGCUCUUGAAGAUGAAGACCCGCGAUCU
rnacentral:misc_RNA from 1 species